AGAAUCAACGCUGGCGGCGUGCCUAACACAUGCAAGUCGAACGAGAAAGUGGAGCAAUCCAUGAGUAAAGUGGCGCACGGGUGAGUAACACGUGACUAACCUACCCUUGAGUGGGGAAUAACCUAGGGAACCUGGGCUAAUACCGCAUAACACCUACGGGCCAAAGGAGCAAUUCGCUUAAGGAGGGGGUCGCGGCAGAUUAGCUAGUUGGCGGGGUAAUGGCCCACCAAGGCAGUGAUCUGUA
rnacentral:rRNA from 1 species